UUGCUCAUUUUGGCAGCACAAAUACUAAAUUUGGAAGAAUACAGAGAAGACUAGCAUGGUCCCUGUGCAAGGAUUUGUGAAACAUUUGUAAAUUUU
ensembl:snRNA Gm22019 predicted gene, 22019